CAGCCUCAAAGGACUCUGCAGUGCGGGGGAUUGGAAAGACAAACCAAAUUCUUCUCCUGAGAGAGGCAGGCAAAACCACUGAGGACUGGAUCAUCUGCCUUUGCUUAUUAUACUGCAACACAGGAACAGCCUGAUCUGAAAACUGUGGCCAGACAGAAGACAAACACACUCUACAGGCCAAAAAGAAGCACCACAGCUAUUUCGUGGGUUGCGUGCAAUGCUGUCCCUGGAGAGCAGU
rnacentral:lncRNA from 1 species